UACGGAGGGUGCAAGCGUUACUCGGAAUUACUGGGCGUAAAGCGCAUGUAGGCGGUCUGUUAAGUCUGAUGUGAAAUCCCUGGACUCAAUCCAGGAAGUGCAUUGGAUACUGGUAGACUAGAGUUUAGGAGAGGAGAACGGAAUUCCUGGUGUAGAGGUGAAAUUCGUAGAUAUCAGGAGGAACAACAGAAGCGAAGGCGGUUCUCUAGACUAUAACUGACGCUGAGAUGCGAAAGCGUGGGUAGCAAACAGG
rnacentral:rRNA from 1 species